AUUUGCUCAGAGCAAAGGACAAAAUCAAUAUUUCAUGCUUUGUUUAAUGGUGAUGGUGUGAGGCAAGAUCCCAGACCAUGCCAUGUGUACGGAGAGAGAGAGAUGGCCAAGCUGUGGGGCGUGCCCAGCACUGGCAUCAACCCUCAUCAGACUCUCAGCGCCAGCACAUGUGGAAGUGCUUAAAAGGCCAUGAGCUGCAGCACCACAAGUCCCGCUGAGCUGAGACAAAGCAAAUUACUCUCUGCUGGAGCACCAUGGGCCACUGCCAAUAUGAGAAAACAACCAGCCUUCAACCUUACAACCACAAUCGAAGAGUCAUGAAGGAGUAAAAAUGAUGUGCAACAUCCCACCUUUAGCGUGCAAGCUGGAUUUGGUUUGGAGGUUUAUGUGAUGGUUUGCUCCUGACAUGAGGAUGACAUGGAGUUGUGAGCACAAUAAAUCUAGCUAUCAAAUGAA